UGCACUAACUUUGCUGAUAUAACUACCUUGCUGAGUCAAAAUGUACUAUGUGCUAUGAUUGUGAUAUGUUGUUGUCUCACCUUGCUGUCUUAAGAUGAAUUAACUGAUGUAAGUCACUCUGGACAAGAGCGUCUGCUAAAUUAAUUAAAUGUCAAAUGUUUAACUGGUUAGCUGUCUUUCUCACACAUGAAAACGGAAACAAUUUCUCAGACUAGUAAUAAAGUGGUAUUCUAACACCUGUCUACCAUUUAAAUAUUUACAUUGGAAUUAAAAGCUAGUAACCUCUCCUGAUGUCAUCGUGUCACCAAACAGUGGUCCAGUUAUGGCAGGCAGCAGUGGGUGUGGCUUCUGGAGUGGGCGUGUUCCUGAUGGGAUUGACAUCUGUCUGUCUUCGCUGGAUGACCAAGAAAACCAAUUCUCAGAGACCUACAGCCAGACAGGAUGAUCAAAGCCAAAGUUCAGAACCAGUCAAAAGUUUGGACACACCUACUCAUUCCAGAUUUUUUCUUUAUUUGUACUAUUUUCUACAUUGUAAAAUAAUAGUGAAG